rnacentral:misc_RNA from 1 species
CAGAGUUGUAAAACUCCCAACCCAUGUGAACAUACCUGUUGCCUCGGCGGCCUACCCUGUAGUCCGCCGACGGACUACUUAAAACUCUGUUUUAAUGUGUCUCUGAGUAAAAUCAUAAUAAGUUA